GGACCCAGUCCGACUCGCGGUGAAUCAUGAUAACUCCACGAAUCGCAUGGCCCAGCGCCGGCGAUGUUUCAUUCAAAUUUCUGCGCUAUCAACUUUAGACGGUAAGGUAUUGGCUUACCGUGGUGGUAACGGGUUACGGAGGAUUAGGGUUCGAUUCCGGAGAGGGAGCCUGAGAAACGGCUACCACAUCCAAGGAAGGCAGCAGUCGCGCAAAUUACCCAAUCUUGACACAAGGAGGUAGUGACAGUAAAUAACAAUACCGGGGUUAUACAACUCUGGUAAUUGGAAUGAGUACAAUCUAAACCCCUUAACGAGGAUCAAUUGGAGGGCAAGUCUGGUGCCAGCAGCCGCGGUAAUUCCAGCUCCAAUAGCGUAUAUUUAAGUUGUUGCAGUUAAAAAGCUCGUAGUUGGAUUUCGGGCGGGCCCGGCCGGUCCGCC
rnacentral:rRNA from 1 species